UAUCCCCCAAACCAAAGGGGGAUGAGAACCACCGACCGGGGUUCGACAACUGGCGCAGCCAGUUGGACAGACGACGAGCCUGCGAGGAGACUGCCCGAAGGGCGAGCGCAGCGAGUCAAUCCCCCCCUCACCGCCA
rnacentral:sRNA from 1 species